UCUUCCGUAGUAUAGUGGUUAGUAUAUGAGCUUGUCAAUUUCCAACCUGGAACAAAAACAAACGCUCGGGACCCGGGUUCAAUUCCCGGCGGGAGAG